UACGUAGGUGGCGAGCGUUGUCCGGAUUUACUGGGCGUAAAGGAUGCGUAGGUGGAUAUUUAAGUGAGAUGUGAAAUACCCGAGCUUAACUUGGGUGCUGCAUUUCAAACUGGAUAUCUAGAGUGCAGGAGAGGAGAAUGGAAUUCCUAGUGUAGCGGUGAAAUGCGUAGAGAUUAGGAGGAACACCAGUGGCGAAGGCGAUUCUCUGGACUGUAACUGACACUGAGGCAUGAAAGCGUGGGUAGCAAACAGG
rnacentral:rRNA from 1 species